rnacentral:rRNA from 1 species
GACGAACGCUGGCGGCGUGCCUAAUACAUGCAAGUAGAACGCUGAAGGAGGAGCUUGCUUCUCUGGAUGAGUUGCGAACGGGUGAGUAACGCGUAGGUAACCUGCCUGGUAGCGGGGGAUAACUAUUGGAAACGAUAGCUAAUACCGCAUAAUAGUAGAUGUUGCAUGACAUUUGCUUAAAAGGUGCAAUUGCAUCACUACCAGAUGGACCUGCGUUGUAUUAGCUAGUUGGUGGGGUAACGGCUCACCAAGGCGACGAUACAUAGCCGACCUGAGAGGGUGAUCGGCCACACUGGGACUGAGACACGGCCCAGACUCCUACGGGAGGCAGCAGUAGGGAAUCUUCGGCAAUGGACGGAAGUCUGACCGAGCAACGCCGCGUGAGUGAAGAAGGUUUUCGGAUCGUAAAGCUCUGUUGUAAGAGAAGAACGGGUGUGAGAGUGGAAAGUUCACACUGUGACGGUAUCUUACCAGAAAGGGACGGCUAACUACGUG